CUCCUACGGGAGGCAGCAGUGGGGAAUCUUGCGCAAUGGGCGAAAGCCUGACGCAGCGACGCCGCGUGAGUGAUGAAGGCCUUCGGGUUGUAAAGCUCUGUGGGGAGAGAAGAAUUAGUGCGGGCUAAUACUCCGCAUGAUGACGGUAUCUCCUUAGCAAGCACCGGCUAACUCUGUGCCAGCAGCCGCGGUAAGACAGAGGGUGCAAACGUUGUUCGGAAUUACUGGGCGUAAAGCGUGUGUAGGCGGCCAUGUAAGUUGGAUGUGAAAGCCCCGGGCUCAACCCGGGAAGUGCAUUCAAAACUGCGUGGCUUGAGUACUGGAGAGGUUGGUAGAAUUCUCGGUGUAGAGGUGAAAUUCGUAGAUAUCGAGAGGAAUACCGGUGGCGAAGGCGGCCAACUGGACAGAUACUGACGCUGAGACACGAAAGCGUGGGGAGCAAACAGGAUUAGAUACCCUGGUAGUCCACGCCGUAAACGAUGGGUGCUAGGUGUCACUGGCAUUGACUCCGGUGGUGCCGUAGCUAACGCAUUAAGCACCCCGCCUGGGAAGUACGGCCGCAAGGCUAAAACUCAAAGGAAUUGAC
rnacentral:rRNA from 1 species